rnacentral:rRNA from 1 species
AGCGAACGUUAGCGGCGGGCCUAACACAUGCAAGUCGAACGAGAAUGUAGGCUUCGGUCUACUAGUAAAGUGGCGGACGGGUGCGUAACACGUGGGUAAUCUACCUUCCGGCGGGGGACAACAGUCCGAAAGGAUUGCUAAUACCGCAUACGUCAGCGGCGCCUACGGGCGCUGUUGGGAAAGAUGGCCUCUCCUUGGAAGCUGUCACCGGAAGAUGAGCCCGCGUCCCAUCAGCUAGNGGUGAGGUAACGGCUCACCAAGGCUUAGACGGGUAGCUGGUCUGAGAGGAUGAUCAGCCACACUGGGACUGCGACACGGCCCAGACUCCUACGGGAGGCAGCAGUGGGGAAUAUUGCACAAUGGGCGAAAGCCUGAUGCAGCGACGCCGCGUGAGGGAUGAAUG